rnacentral:rRNA from 1 species
AGUGAACGCUGGCGGUAGGCCUAACACAUGCAAGUCGAACGGCAGCACAGUAAGAGCUUGCUCUUACGGGUGGCGAGUGGCGGACGGGUGAGGAAUACAUCGGAAUCUACUUUUUCGUGGGGGAUAACGUAGGGAAACUUACGCUAAUACCGCAUACGACCUACGGGUGAAAGCAGGGGAUCUUCGGACCUUGCGCGAUUGAAUGAGCCGAUGUCGGAUUAGCUAGUUGGCGGGGUAAAGGCCCACCAAGGCGACGAUCCGUAGCUGGUCUGAGAGGAUGAGCAGCCAAAAUGGAACGGAGACACGGUCCAGACGCCUAAGGGAGGCAGCAGGGGGGAAUAUUGGACAAAGGGAGGAAGCCGGAUCCAGCCAUACCGAGGGGGUGAAGAAGGCCUUCGGGUUGUAAAGCCCGUUUGUUGGGAAAGAAAAGCAGCAGGUUAAUACCCCGCUGUUCGGACGGUACCCAAAGAAUAAGCACCGGCUAACUUCGUG